rnacentral:lncRNA from 1 species
GACCGUUUGUCUUCUUGGGGUCACUGCUGGCCUUAGCAGGAGAGGAGCAGUGAUGGGAAUCCACUUGGCAGAGGGCUGGAGCUGGAUAGCUGGACUCGGGCUCUCCUAAAAUAAAUACAAUGCAGAAGUAUGAUGGUUAAUUCUGUCAAUUUGACAAGAUUUAGGAUCACCUUGGAGACAUGGCAUCUGUGAGAGUGUUUCUAGAUUGGUUUAACGAGGAGGGAAGACCCACCCUAAAUGUGGAUUGCACCACCCCAUAGGCUGGGAUUCUCUACUAAAUAAAAAGGAGGGCGUGAUCUUGAACACCAGCCUUCAUCUCUCUCUGCCUGCUGACCAGCAUAGAGACCACAUGCCCCAUGCUCCUCCCACCAUUUACCACGCCCCUUCUCUGCUUUAAAUGACCACACCCUCAAUGCAUGAGCCCGAAUAAAUGUUUCCUUCCUUACGUUGCUUUUGUCUUCUCUCUUGUCACAGGGAAGGGAAAAGUAGCUAAUAUGCCUAAUUUUCCUUGCAUAUACAUAUGGCCCUAAGAAUUCAUCCAGGCCAGCAAGUUUAAACAAGGAGCGUCCUUAACCAGCUUCAGACCCUUCCUUAAGGGACAGCUUAUAUGUAAGUGC